CUUUCACCUGUGCACCUGCCAGAUAAGCAUGGGUAUAAAAUGUUUGUGGUUAGCUUUGCCACUGUUUUUUAUUGCUUUUAUUCCUCAACUUGAAAACAAGAAACACACAGCUCAUUGUUCAACCCUAAAGAUACAACUGGUUAUCAACCUAUUGCCCAGUCCUUAGUCUGUAGUCGAUGCUCCUAUGCCAUUCAUUUCAUUCAACAAUUCAACUGUUUCAACAUAUUACCAAUGUCAUCAAAACCAUCUGGAAGGAAAUAAAAAUACCAAAAAGGAA